GGGAAGAACGGAGAAACUACUAGAUCCGGGUAGUCGCUUCCUGUAAUCUCGUUGCUUAGAAUUACGUACGUGAACAUUCGCGAUGGAUCUCGUUUUUGGGAUUUUUAGAAAAUAUUUCGACGAGUGUAUUUACCGAAUUGAAUGUUAUUCGUUCGUCAGGCGAAAAGUGUGAAAAGUAGUGCAGGUCAACGUUUCGAAUUGCAAACUUAACCUGUACGACCGACGGAACCAGGAAAAACGGAACUUUCAGGAUUUACUCAUUGUAUCAUCAGCAUAAUUGAGUAACGCAAAAUGAGAAUAUCAAUGGCUUAGUUGAAAAGUAUGCCAAUAGAAUUCUUAUGAUUACACGGUUUUCUGAAUGUAACUUCAAUCGAUUAUUUCGAUCUAAUGGUUAAAGUCACGCCGAUAGGAUUAUUCAGUUAAUGUCACAGGAAUUUUCCUGGCUCUUGCAGUUUCUGACGACAACAUUCUACAACUCUAGAUUCCGAUCUUGGAAAUAUGCGGUUUUAGGUGUUACGUCACGAAUUAUCGAUACAGAAACAUGCCAGAUAAAAGACAUAGAAUUUACCCAUGGCACUUGUUCACUUCGUUUUCUUGAAUACACGGGGCAUCCCAAAACCAGGGGGAUACACUGUAAUUUCCUUUGCACUGUAUUUAUAUAUUCAUAUACACUUAUUACUCUUGCAGUGGUAUUAUAAUCUGCCCGCUACUACAUACAUAGCUAAAAGUGAAAAGGUAUUUGAAUGACGUCACGGAAUUUCCCUUUCAGGCUGCUGUAGCUGCAACAUUCUACAGGUUCAUCUUAGAUGCCAAUCUCGACUAGUUUAUGCAACUUAAAAUGAUAACAUAUACAGUGAUUUUCAGUAUGUUUUAAUACGACGAUAAUAAAAAAUAUUUGCUACAAAUGGAAAGAAAAAUAUUUACUUAAUCAAAUUUGGAGAGAUUGAAAUUUACUAUUGCAUUAAGAUAUUGUUUUUUACGUGGAAUAUUCCAUUUUUAUGGAAAAUUAGAUGGCCAAUCUGUGUAAUGUACGAAAUAAGAUUGUUGUACUUUCGAGUGGCGCAUAAAAGAAUGAGGAGCACGUAUUACGAAUUAGUUAAAAUUUAAUUUCUUAAUUUUGUAUUCACUUUAUAAUAAUUCAAUCGUUGAACAAUUACAAUAAUUACAAAGCAUGUAUUACAAAAUUUUUAUUGUAUUUUGAAAUGUUUUUCAUCAGUAUUAUUAACACCUGAUCAUAAAUUCUUAAAUACGUUAACCUUGUAAAUCUUGUCUAGUAGUAGCAUUCUUUUUAUGUGACAAACCUUAAUGGAAUUCUAGUAGAAAUGCAUUACAUGUAAAUAAAUUAACUCCGAUAAACGGUGCACACCGUCAAUGGUUUUGUACAUUGAUCAAAUAAUCUCGAGAGGAAUGUCUGUGUACAAUAAUAUCAAAUAAAUAUAUAUAUUUCAACACAUUAUUCACAUUAUGCAACUACUUGUAUCAGAAAUUU